rnacentral:pre_miRNA from 1 species
UUUAAGUAUUGUUGUGAGUUUUUUAUCCAGCGUUUGACCGUUCGUCUUAUUUGAAAAAAUUUUUAUGAUUAGUAUUUUUAUUGUUUUUAGAUGAUAAAACGUGAAUAAUAUGUGACGCAUGAUUUUUUUUUUAUUUUUUUUAUAUUUCUUGUAAAUAAUACGGGUGAUUAAACGUUAGACACGAAACCCACGACUACACUCAAA